rnacentral:rRNA from 1 species
AACGUAGGGGACAAGCGUUAUCCGGAUUUACUGGGCGUAAAGCGCACGUAGGCGGCUUUGUAAGUUAGAGGUGAAAGCCUGGAGCUCAACUCCAGAAUUGCCUUUAAGACUGCAUCGCUUGAAUCCAGGAGAGGUGAGUGGAAUUCCGAGUGUAGAGGUGAAAUUCGUAGAUAUUCGGAAGAACACCAGUGGCGAAGGCGGCUCACUGGACUGGUAUUGACGCUGAGGUGCGAAAGCGUGGGGAGCAAACAGG